GGGAAAUUGCAUGGUUGAGGAAGGUUUAUGUCUCAGUGAGAUUGGUGUGACAAUUUAUUCAUAAUCUAGGGUUUAGAUGUGGUGUUAUUUGAUUUCGAAUCAGGUAGCAUAUCUGUCUUGAUUUUAUUCCAUCAACUGUUGGCUUCCUUUUGUCAGAUGUUUUACUCGUGUACAAAGACUCUGUUCUAGACUGCAGUUAGACUAUUAGAGGAACACAUCUAAUUUAGCUUCACUAGAGUAUGACCCAGCUAGUGGAGGUACAAUGAGAGAAGUCUAGCUGACCCAGAUAUUUGUCUAACCAAAUCUGCAUUU
rnacentral:lncRNA from 1 species